AGUGGCCAAGCAUCUGAAUUUUGAUCAUGUGACCAUGGGGGAUGCUGCAAUAGUGGACCGUUGUUCUCCUUUGUGACUUCCGCAAACCACAAACAGCCCUGUAUGUCUGUUUUUCAACUUUCAGCCAUUUCCAGGUGUUGCGAAAACGCCAGUCAAACAUAUUCACCUGAGACUGUAAUUCCCACUGCUCUCUGAAAUUUAUCUCAAGAAUGUUUCUGUAUAUUACAACCUGCAACAAGUUUCUCUGGAGUGUGGCUAGGCUAUA